rnacentral:rRNA from 1 species
UCCAGACUCCUACGGGAGGCAGCAGUGGGGAAUAUUGCACAAUGGGGGAAACCCUGAUGCAGCAACGCCGCGUGAGUGAGGAAGUAUUUCGGUAUGUAAAGCUCUAUCAGCAGGGAAUAGAAAAGAAGGUACCUGAAAAAGAAGCCCCGGCUAACUACGUGCCAGCAGCCGCGGUAAUACGUAGGGGGCAAGCGUUAUCCGGAUUUACUGGGUGUAAAGGGCGUGUAGCCGGGCCGGCAAGUCAGAUGUGAAAUCCCAAGGCUCAACCUUGGAACUGCAUUUGAAACUGUUGGUCUUGAGUAUCGGAGAGGCAGGCGGAAUUCCUGGUGUAGCGGUGAAAUGCGUAGAUAUCAGGAGGAACACCGGUGGCGAAGGCGGCCUGCUGGACUGCGACUGACGUUGAGGCCCGAAAGCGUGGGGAGCAAACAGGAUUAGAUACCCCAGUAC